rnacentral:rRNA from 1 species
GAUGAACGCUGACAGAAUGCUUAACACAUCAGCAAUGGAUUGGUGGCGGACGGGUGAGUAACGCGUAAAGAACUUACCUCACAGUUAGGGACAACAUUUGGAAACGACUGCUAAUACCUAAUACUGUGAGAGGGCUUUGCGUCCCAUUAGCUAGUUGGUGAGGUAACGGCUCACCAAGGCGAUGAUGGGUAGCCGGCCUGAGAGGGUGAUCGGCCACAAUGGGACAGGGAAGCCGGCCUUGCUGCUACGGGAGGAAGGAGCGGGGAAUAUUGGAAAAUGGACCAAAGUAUGAUGCAGCAAUUCGGUGUGCACGGUACAUUUGUCGGAAGGAAGAGUGCGUUGAGUAGAGAAGCGGUACCAACAGAAGAAGCGACGGCUAAAUACGUGCCAGCAGCCGCGGUAAUAC